UGGGGAAUAUUGCACAAUGGGCGCAAGCCUGAUGCAGCCAUGCCGCGUGUAUGAAGAAGGCCUUCGGGUUGUAAAGUACUUUCAGCGGGGAGGAAGGGAGUAAAGUUAAUACCUUUGCUCAUUGACGUUACCCGCAGAAGAAGCACCGGCUAACUCCGUGCCAGCAGCCGCGGUAAUACGGAGGGUGCAAGCGUUAAUCGGAAUUACUGGGCGUAAAGCGCACGCAGGCGGUUUGUUAAGUCAGAUGUGAAAUCCCCGGGCUCAACCUGGGAACUGCAUCUGAUACUGGCAAGCUUGAGUCUGGUAGAGGGGGGUAGAAUUCCAGGUGUAGCGGUGAAAUGCGUAGAGAUCUGGAGGAAUACCGGUGGCGAAGGCGGCCCCCUGGGCGAAGACUGACGCUCAGGUGCGAAAGCGUGGGGAGCAAACAGG
rnacentral:rRNA from 1 species